AGAGUUUGAUCAUGGCUCAGAUUGAACGCUGGCGGCAGGCUUAACACAUGCAAGUCGAACGGUAACAGGAGAAAGCUUGCUUUCUUGCUGACGAGUGGCGGACGGGUGAGUAAUGCUUGGGAAUCUGGCUUAUGGAGGGGGAUAACUACGGGAAACUGUAGCUAAUACCGCGUAAUAUCUUCGGAUUAAAGGGUGGGACUUUCGGGCCACCUGCCAUAAGAUGAGCCCAAGUGGGAUUAGGUAGUUGGUGGGGUAAAGGCCUACCAAGCCGACGAUCUCUAGCUGGUCUGAGAGGAUGACCAGCCACACUGGAACUGAGACACGGUCCAGACUCCUACGGGAGGCAGCAGUGGGGAAUAUUGCACAAUGGGGGGAACCCUGAUGCAGCCAUGCCGCGUGAAUGAAGAAGGCCUUCGGGUUGUAAAGUUCUUUCGGUGAUGAGGAAGGUGUUUGUUUUAAUAGAACAAGCAAUUGACGUUAGUCACAGAAGAAGCACCGGCUAACUCCGUGCCAGCAGCCGCGGUAAUACGGAGGGUGCGAGCGUUAAUCGGAAUGACUGGGCGUAAAGGGCACGCAGGCGGUGACUUAAGUGAGAUGUGAGAGCCCCGAGCUUAACUUGGGAAUUGCAUUUCAUACUGGGUCGCUAGAGUAUUUUAGGGAGGGGUAGAAUUCCACGUGUAGCGGUGAAAUGCGUAGAGAUGUGGAGGAAUACCGAAGGCGAAGGCAGCCCCUUGGGAAUAUACUGACGCUCAUGUGCGAAAGCGUGGGGAGCAAACAGGAUUAGAUACCCUGGUAGUCCACGCUGUAAACGCUGUCGAUUUGGGGAUUGGGCUUAGAGCUUGGUGCCCGUAGCU
rnacentral:rRNA from 1 species